CCAGUGAAUAAUAGGAAAAAACUCAUACUAAGUGAAAGGUUUACAACUGGGGGGGAACACACUACGAGGGUGAGUCAGGGACAGCUAGUUCCAAAGCAAGAGCCAUGCACAGACUGAUGGAUCUCAUUUAUAUACUGACCUUGGGACAGCACUUGGACCACUUGAUGCUGUCAUUUCCACUAUGGCAGUAAGAUAUCCUGAUAAUAAUAAUAAUAUUCUAUAAGCCAAAUUUUUAUUUGUGUAAUCACACUCACUAGUCAGGCAAAUCAGAACUGGUAGAACCAAAAAUCUCGAUCAGUUAACCAAGGUACUGUUAAACCAAAGUCAGUUAACCAAAGGCUACAGGUUCAAGUAGAAGUAAAAGGAAUGGGGUCCUGCAUGAAAACUACAACCCAGUCAUGAAAAAUCAGAGAUUUCCUGGCCUUAAAAUACCUUUCCUGUGAUGAGGAAGACAAGCCUGAGAGUCUCCAAUGGGGUGGACAUUCCACUCUACACCCAGGGUUCCUACUGUAAAGUGGUUUUGUAUAAUAAUUGAUGAAACUGGGUUCUAUUUUAUUAUGAAAACAAAACGAGAAGGCAAUAAUACAGUGAAAACAGGAUAAACACUGAGCUUGUUAUAAAAUCUAAUCAAAUAAAUUUUGAGCUGGAGAUAUAUUUGGUGAUCUUAAUUUAGAUGAAGGUAAUUUACAUAGUAGGAUUUAAUGGUAUGGAAGUUAAAGAAAUUUAAAGAAAAGCAUAAAACUUAGAGAAAGAAACUACAGAUCUGAUUUGAUGCUGUAUGGUAGAGAUUAAGAAUGGUACGUAUUUCAUCUAGACCGAGAGCCACAUGUUUGCACUCAAACUUAUCGAUGGCACUUUUGAGAAAUGUUAAAGAACUGGUGAUUUCUGUUUUCCUC
rnacentral:lncRNA from 1 species